rnacentral:rRNA from 1 species
AUUGAACGCUGGCGGCAGGCCUAACACAUGCAAGUCGAACGAGUGGCGGACGGGUGAGUAAUGUCUGGGAAACUGCCUGAUGGAGGGGGAUAACUACUGGAAACGGUAGCUAAUACCGCAUACCAUCAGAUGUGCCCAGAUGGGAUUAGCUUGUUGGUGGGGUAACGGCUCACCAAGGCGACGAUCCCUAGCUGGUCUGAGAGGAUGACCAGCCACACGUGAACGGAUCACGGUCCGAGACUCCUACGGGAGGCAGCGUGGGGGAUUAGUGCAAAGUGGGCGCAGGCCUGAUGCAGCCAUGCCGCGUGUAGUAAGAAGGCCUUCGGGUUGUAAAGUACUUUCAGCGGGGAGGCGUGACCCGCAGAAGAAGCACCGGCUAACUCCGUGCCAGCAGCCGCGGUAAUAC